rnacentral:rRNA from 1 species
AUUGAACGCUGGCGGCAGGCCUAACACAUGCAAGUCGAGCGGGGUUUUCGGACCUAGCGGCGGACGGGUGAGUAAUGCAUAGGAAGCUGCCCGAUAGAGGGGGAUACCAGUUGGAAACGACUGUUAAUACCGCAUAAUGUCUACGGACCAAAGUGUGGGACCUUCGGGCCACAUGCUAUCGGAUGCGCCUACGUGGGAUU